AUUAGAUGUAAAUAAAUGCAAUAACUGUGUGUACAAAAGAGUGACUAUAAAUUGAUGAAGGUGAGAUGCUGCAUGAGCUGGAUUCUAAUACACAAUGUUGAUUAGAUGUCUGAGUUAAUGUCAGGCAGACACCAGAUGCAGGAAAUUAUUCUACAUUGCUGUUUCAGAGCUUGAAAUCUCUCUGUAAUUUGAUGAAUUAAGAAUUACAAUGACGACAUCCUUUUAAUGGUAUUGUGUAUCAUUUAAAUCCUCGCUUAACUGUUAUUAAGCAAAACCCAGAAGUCACUGACAUGCAGCUUGCAGACUACUAUGGAGGAGAUAAAUAUCUUGUUGUUGUUGUGGUUGCUUCCCAAGAAAGGUUGUUGAUAUUAUAUACACUAAACUAUGGUUUCUUUUAUACAUUUAACCCUGAGUAUCCUUAGUUCGUAAUCAUUUUGGUUAAUGUUGGCAGUUUAUAUUAAAAAUGUUCUUCUUUUAUCAAUAAAGGCAAGUCAACUCUUGAAAUCAUUAACUUUAAAUGAACCAUAAAGACAUUUUUAAAGAACUUUUUUAAUGAGUAGAACAUAAACAGGAACAUAUUUUUAUGUACUUUAUAAUUAAAU